UACGUAGGUGGCAAGCGUUGUCCGGAAUUAUUGGGCGUAAAGCGCGUGUAGGCGGUCCGGUAAGUCGGUUGUGAAAGUCCAGGGCUCAACCCUGGGAUGCCGACCGAUACUGUCGGACUAGAGUUCGGAAGAGGCGAGUGGAAUUCCCGGUGUAGCGGUGAAAUGCGCAGAUAUCGGGAGGAACACCUAUGGCGAAGGCAGCUCGCUGGGACGUUACUGACGCUGAGACGCGAAAGCGUGGGGAGCAAACAGG
rnacentral:rRNA from 1 species